rnacentral:rRNA from 1 species
UCUGACCGUGCAAAGGUAGCGUAAUCACUUGUUCUUUAAAUGAGGACUAGUAUGAACGGCAUCACGAGGGUUAUACUGUCUCCCCCCUUUUUUCAGUGAAACUGAUCUUCCCGUGAAGAAGCGGGAAUAUUAAUAUAAGACGAGAAGACCCCAUGGAGCUUUAAACUCAGAAUCAACUGCCACAAAAUUAACCUAAUAAUCACGCAGAACUGACUUCUAGUUUUCGGUUGGGGUGACCGCGGAGUAAAAUAAAACCUCCACGACGAAAGGAACUAGCCUCCUAACCUAAGAGCCACAGCUCUAAGUAUUAAAACAUUAACCUAAUUGAUCCAAUUACUUGAUCAACGAACCAAGUUACCCUGGGGAUAACAGCGCAAUCCAUUUCAAGAGCUCAUAUCGACAAAUGGGUUUACGACCUCGAUGUUGGAUCAGGAUAUCCAAGUGGCGCAGCCGCUACUAACGGUUCGUUUGUUCAACGAUUAAAAUCUUACGUGAUCUGAGUUCAGACCGGAGCAG